AAAAUCUUAAAAAACAAACAAACCAUGCCAUGCACUUCUGUUCCUCUGUGGCUGCUCUUGUACACCCCUUUGUCUGGGGCACUUCUAGGUAUCUUUACUCUUCCAGUCCAACUCUGUACAUUUUUUCUACGUACACCUCAAGCCCUUAUUCUUUUGAAGUCUCCUCCUAGUUCAGUUUGUGGGAUAUCUUUGUUUUCAGAUCUCUUUGGACACUCAUCUUCCUGCAUGCAGUGGGCAUUUGAGUAAUUAUCCUCACUGGACUGCCUGCUUGUUCAGGACAGGGACAACGGUUUCUUCUUCCCUUCCAUCCUCUCACAAGGAAUCCUUGGCCCCAAGAAAUACACCAGUCCCAUGUCAUAUACUAUUCUGAGUGAGCAAAGGAGAUGGAGACAUAAAUCAGCAAUUGCAAUCUUGUGACCAGUUCAAUAAUAGAGGUGUGCUGUGCUCGGACAGUGAAUGGCAAUGGAUUCAAGUGGAAGCAUUUCUUUCACUUCUACUUAGGAGAUGUGUGUAUGCAAUACUACCUAAAGAACUACUAUCAUAAGUUAAGACCACAAGAUAUGUUCCUGCUGAAUGAAUGGCAAAAGGUUAGCAUACUUGUCUUAAAAGCCUUUAGCUUUUCACUACAUCUAUAUCUUUGGGGUAAA